rnacentral:rRNA from 1 species
UAGGGAAUCUUCGGCAAUGGCGAAAGUCUGACCGAGCAACGCCGCGUGAGUGAAGAAGGUUUUCGAAUCGUAAAACUCUGUUGGUAGAGAAGAACGUUGGUGAGAGUGGAAAGCUCAUCAAGUGACGGUAACUACCCAGAAAGGGACGGCUAACUACGUGCCAA